UGGGGAAUAUUGCACAAUGGGGGGAACCCUGAUGCAGCGACGCCGCGUGGGUGAAGAAGUAUUUCGGUAUGUAAAGCCCUAUCAGCAGGGAAGAAGAUGACGGUACCUGAGUAAGAAGCCCCGGCUAACUACGUGCCAGCAGCCGCGGUAAUACGUAGGGGGCAAGCGUUAUCCGGAUUUACUGGGUGUAAAGGGAGCGUAGACGGCAGAGCAAGUCAGAAGUGAAAGGUCGGGGCCCAACCCCGGGACUGCUUUUGAAACUGUUCAGCUGGAGUACAGGAGAGGCAGGCGGAAUUCCUAGUGUAGCGGUGAAAUGCGUAGAUAUUAGGAGGAACACCAGUGGCGAAGGCGGCCUGCUGGACUGAGACUGACGUUGAGGCUCGAAAGCGUGGGGAGCAAA
rnacentral:rRNA from 1 species